CCUUUGGUAUCUUUCGUCCCUCUUUUAUGGCUUUCAACUAUGAUCAAAAUCCCUACUGUAUAACAGUUAUAAAAGGCCCUAACAUGACAAGUGUAAAUAAUUUGAAAUGAGAAUACCAAUGGCCAGAUUUAUGGCAAAACAAUAAAUGAAAAGAAAAUAUGAGACAUACUAAUCAAAUUAAAGUCAACCCCUAAAUUAAGAUCCUGAAUUGGCACAUACACAUAAAUGUAAUUGGGUAGCGUUCAACAUGUAUGGGAGUGCUCAACCCUUUCUCUAACCUUGAACAGCAGUAGAAUAUUACAACAUGAAGAUAAACUGAAAUCAGUUGGAAUGUGUCAACUUAUUAGACUGGC
rnacentral:lncRNA from 1 species